rnacentral:rRNA from 1 species
UACAGAGGGUGCAAGCGUUAAUCGGAAUUACUGGGCGUAAAGCGCGCGUAGGCGGCUUUGCAAGUCGGGUGUGAAAUCCCCAGGCUCAACCUGGGAACUGCAUUCGAGACUCCAUUGCUAGAGUAUGGGAGAGGGAAGUGGAAUUUCAGGUGUAGCGGUGAAAUGCGUAGAUAUCUGAAGGAACAUCAGUGGCGAAAGCGACUUCCUGGACCAAUACUGACGCUCAUGUGCGAAAGCGUGGGGAGCAAACAGG